rnacentral:rRNA from 1 species
GACGAACGCUGGCGGCGUGCUUAACACAUGCAAGUCGAACGGUGAAGCGCCUUCCUUUUUGGUGGGUGUGGAUGAGUGGCGAACGGGUGAGUAACACGUUAGUAACCUGCCCCCUUCUUCUGGAUAACCGCAUGAAAGUGUGGCUAAUACGGGAUAUUCUGGGUCUGUCGCAUGAUGGGUCUGGGAAAGAUAUUGUUUCGGUGGGGGAUGGGCUCGCGGCCUAUCAGCUUGUUGGUGGGGUGAUGGCCUACCAAGGCGGUGACGGGUAGCCGGCCUGAGAGGGUGGACGGUCACACUGGGACUGAGACACGGCCCAGACUCCUACGGGAGGCAGCAGUGGGGAAUAUUGCACAAUGGGCGCAAGCCUGAUGCAGCGACGCCGCGUGAGGGAUGGAGGCCUUCGGGUUGUGAACCUCUUUCGCCAGUGAAGCAGGCCUGUCUCGUUUGUGGGUGGGUUGACGGUAGCUGGAUAAGAAGCGCCGGCUAACUACGUG